GACACGGCGCCAAGCGCUACGUACGGGAUAAAGCCAAAUUUCCGCACCGGAGCUCACCACUCUAUACCUUGGAGCAGCUCUAGUGAAAAACGUUUACAAGCUGUAGUGUUGGCAGAAGAGCCAACACCGUCUUGCUAGAGGAGGCCGAAAUGCAAGCGUUUUAACUCACGCAGGCUGGCGUGAGGUCUGGAACAGAUGCUGCUGUAGUACUUCCACCCUCUUCUGCAUCACACUGUCCAAUGCAGAGGAGGAAGUUGGUUUAGGUGUUGAAGGUUUGGAGAAGGUUUGGUGAACAUUCUCCAUAACAACCUGUGCUGGGAUCAGGCUUUCGCCAGCUUCAGCAGCAAUUACAGUUUCAUUACUAUUUGUGGUACUGCUGGCAUCGCCAACAGCUGCAUCAUCAACUACAUCUACAUUUAGAUCCAUUAUUACACAGCACUGUGCAACCGAAUCAAAGUUAUUUUCCAGUGGCUUCAAUGAUGAGCCAACUAUUUCCAGUAGUUUUGCCUCGUGUGGACUCUUUUUAGGUACUGGUACUGGCUUCCCUCCUCCUGUUUUAUAGACUUGAACGUUCUCUUCAGCCAAAUCCCCCUGCAACCUCCUCUUCAAAUUCUCGUAACAUGUUUUAAGCCUUUCAGGCCUUCUUUUUGUU